GUGCCCGUAGCUCAAUUGGAUAGAGUAUCAGAUUCCGAUUCUGACGGUUGCAGGUUCGAUCCCUGUCGGGUGCG
rnacentral:tRNA from 2 species